rnacentral:rRNA from 1 species
GAAUUUAGCAGAGAUGCUUAGUGCCUUCGGGAACUCUGAGACAGGUGCUGCAUGGCUGUCGUCAGCUCGUGUUGUGAAAUGUUGGGUUAAGUCCCGNAACGAGCGCAACCCUUAUCCUUUGUUGCCAGCACGUAAUGGUGGGAACUCAAAGGAGACUGCCGGUGAUAAACCGGAGGAAGGUGGGGAUGACGUCAAGUCAUCAUGGCCCUUACGAGUAGGGCUACACACGUGCUACAAUGGCGCAUACAAAGAGAAGCGACCUCGCGAGAGCAAGCGGACCUCAUAAAGUGCGUCGUAGUCCGGAUUGGAGUCUGCAACUCGACUCCAUGAAGUCGGAAUCGCUAGUAAUCGUAAAUCAGAAUGUUACGGUGAAUACGUUCCCGGGCCUUGUACACACCGCCCGUCACACCAUGGGAGUGGGUUGCAAAAGAAGUAGAUAGCUUAACCUUCGGGAGGGCGUUUACCACUUUGUGAUUCAUGACUGGGGUGAAGUCGUAACAAGGUAGGCGUAGUGCU